CAGCCGUAAACUAUGCUCGCUAGGUGUCAGGCAUGGCGCGACCGUGUCUGGUGCCGCAGGGAAGCCGUGAAGCGAGCCACCUGGGAAGUACGGCCGCAAGGCUGAAACUUAAGGAUUGGCGGGGAGCACAACAACGGGUGGAGCCUGCGGUUUAAUUGGACUCAACGCCGGACAACUCACCGGGGACGACAGCAAUAUGUAGACCAGGCUGAAGACCUUGCCUGAAUCGCUGAGAGGUGGUGCAUGGCGUAGACGUCU
rnacentral:rRNA from 1 species